rnacentral:rRNA from 1 species
UACGGGGGGGGUAAGCGUUGUUCGGAAUUACUGGGCGUAAAGGGCUCGUAGGCGGCCAACUAAGUCGGACGUGAAAUCCCUCAGCUUAACUGGGGAACUGCGUCCGAUACUGGAUGGCUUGGAUUUGGGAGAGGGAUGCGGAAUUCCACGUGUAGCAGUGAAAUGCGUAGAGAUGUGGAGGAACACCGAUGGCGAAGGCAGCCCCCUGGGCUAACACUGACGCUCAUGCACGAAAGCGUGGGGAGCAAACAGG